AACGAACGCUGGCGGCAUGCCUAACACAUGCAAGUCGAACGAAGCCUUCGGGCUUAGUGGCGCACGGGUGCGUAACGCGUGGGAAUCUGCCCUUAGAUACGGAAUAACUCAGGGAAACUUGUGCUAAUACCGUAUGAUGUCGAGAGACCAAAGAUUUAUCGCCUAGGGAUGAGCCCGCGUAGGAUUAGCUAGUUGGUGGGGUAAAGGCCUACCAAGGCGACGAUCCUUAGCUGGUCUGAGAGGAUGAUCAGCCACACUGGGACUGAGACACGGCCCAGACUCCUACGGGAGGCAGCAGUGGGGAAUAUUGGACAAUGGGCGAAAGCCUGAUCCAGCAAUGCCGCGUGAGUGAUGAAGGCCCUAGGGUUGUAAAGCUCUUUUACCAGGGAUGAUAAUGACAGUACCUGGAGAAUAAGCUCCGGCUAACUCCGUGCCAGCAGCCGCGGUAAU
rnacentral:rRNA from 1 species